CAGCCGCCGCGGUAAGACAGAGGUCCCGAGCGUUGUUCGGAUUCAUUGGGCGUAAAGGGUGUGUAGGAGGCCAGGUAAGUCAGGUGUGAAAUCUCAGAGCUUAACUCCGAAACUGCGCUUGAUACUGCUUGGCUAGAGGAUCGGAGGGGGUAACGGAAUUUAUGGUGUAGCAGUGAAAUGCGUAGAUAUCAUAAGGAACACCGGUGGCGAAGGCGGUUACCUGGAAGAUUCCUGACUCUGAAGCACGAAAGCCAGGGGAGCAAACGGGAUUAGAUACCCGAGUAGUCCCUGUCUCUUAUAC
rnacentral:rRNA from 1 species